rnacentral:lncRNA from 1 species
UUUUUCCAUAUCGCAACAGCCUAUAAAUAAAACCCAAAAUAUUUUCAAUUUAUCUUGCCUAGCUAGUGGGGUAGCACAUUGUCAUGCAUACUCAUAUGAUCUUCAAGUUCAGUGGCAAUUUCAAACUCGGCAUCACAGACACAACAGAUAUAACCAAUACCAGUUGCUUCUCUUGACAAAACACUGCUUUAUAUUACCUUGUGUGCUGAUACUUUAUGUCGUGUUAAACUGUGUGAUUCUGAAAAUUUUGUGUUCCAAAUGUGAUAUUCAUAAGGUCUGUCUCCAGUAUGUGUUCUCUUAUCAACAACUAAGUAGUCUGAAUGCAAAAAUCUUUUGUUGCAAACAUCACAUUCAUAAGGUUUCUCUCGAGUGUGUGUUCUUUUAUGGGAAGCUAAGACCUAAGUGGCUAGAUUGUGAAAAUCCCCUCUUACAAACAUCGCAUUCAUAAGGUUUGUCUCCAGUGUGUGUUCUCUUAUGAAUGGUUAAAGUGCUUGAGUGUGAAAAUAUUUUGUUGGAAACAUCGCAUUCAUAAGGUUUGUCUCCAGCAUGUGUUCUUUCAUGAAUAGCUAACCUGUCUGGCCGCGAAAACCUUUUAUGGCAAACAUCACAUUCAUAAGGUUUGUCUCCAGUAUGUGUUCUUUCAUGUUUAGCUAAGUCGCCGACUGUGAAAAUCUUUUGUUGCAAACAUUGCAUUCAUAAGGUUUUUCUCCAGUAUGUUUUCUCUUAUGAACCGCAAGGUGGCCUGACUGCAAAAAUCUUUUGUUGCAAACAUCGCAUUCAUAACGUUUCUCACAUUCAUAAGGUUUGUCUUCAGUAUGUGUUCUUUCAUGACUAGCUAACCUGUCUGGCCGCGAAAAUCUUUUAUGGCAAACAUCGCAUUCAUAAGGUUUGUCUCCAGUGUGUGUUCUUUCAUGUCUAGCUAAGUCGCCUGACUGUGAAAAUCUUUUGUUGCAAACAUCACAUUCAUGAAGGUUUCUCCCCAGUAUGUGUUCGUUUGUGUCCCACCAAAUUUCCUUUCGUAGCCAAUACCUUGUUACAAACCUCGCAUUUCCUAGACAUGGUUUCAGCUUUUGAUCUUUUCCCCGUACGAUCAAAUUUCGAUAAAAAUAUCACCCAACUGUUCUCUCGAGUCGUUC